GACGAACGCUGGCGGCGUGCUUAACACAUGCAAGUCGAGCGGUAAGGCCCUUUCGGGGGUACACGAGCGGCGAACGGGUGAGUAACACGUGGGUGACCUGCCCUCAGCCCUGGGAUAAGCCUGGGAAACUGGGUCUAAUACUGGAUAUGACUCCACGGUGCAUGUCGUGGGGUGGAAAGCCUUGUGCGGCUGAGGAUGGGCCCCGCGGCCUAUCAGCUUGUUGGUGGGGUGAUGGCCUACCAAGGCGACGACGGGUAGCCGGCCUGAGAGGGCGACCGGCCACACUGGGACUGAGACACGGCCCAGACUCCUACGGGAGGCAGCAGUGGGGAAGUCUUGCGCAAUGGGCGAAAGCCUGACGCAGCGACGCCGCGUGA
rnacentral:rRNA from 1 species